AUGAACGCUAGCGACAGGCUUAACACAUGCAAGUCGAGGGGCAGCACUGGUAGCAAUACCGGGUGGCGACCGGCGCACGGGUGAGUAACGCGUAUGCAACUUACCUAUCAGAGGGGGAUAACCCGGCGAAAGUCGGACUAAUACCGCAUGAAGCAGGGGCCCCGCAUGGGGAUAUUUGCUAAAGAUUCAUCGCUGAUAGAUAGGCAUGCGUUCCAUUAGGCAGUUGGCGGGGUAACGGCCCACCAAACCGACGAUGGAUAGGGGUUCUGAGAGGAAGGUCCCCCACAUUGGUACUGAGACACGGACCAAACUCCUACGGGAGGCAGCAGUGAGGAAUAUUGGUCAAUGGGCGGAAGCCUGAACCAGCCAAGUCGCGUGAGGGAUGAAGGUUCUAUGGAUCGUAAACCUCUUUUAUAAGGGAAUAAAGUGCGGGACGUGUCCCGUUUUGUAUGUACCUUAUGAAUAAGGAUCGGCUAACUCCGUGCCAGCAGCCGCGGUAAUACGGAGGAUCCGAGCGUUAUCCGGAUUUAUUGGGUUUAAAGGGUGCGUAGGCGGCCUUUUAAGUCAGCGGUGAAAGUCUGUGGCUCAACCAUAGAAUUGCCGUUGAAACUGGGGGGCUUGAGUAUGUUUGAGGCAGGCGGAAUGCGUGGUGUAGCGGUGAAAUGCUUAGAUAUCACGCAGAACCCCGAUUGCGAAGGCAGCCUGCCAAGCCAUGACUGACGCUGAUGCACGAAAGCGUGGGGAUCAAACAGGAUUAGAUACCCUGGUAGUCCACGCAGUAAACGAUGAUCACUAGCUGUUUGCGAUACAGUGUAAGCGGCACAGCGAAAGCGUUAAGUGAUCCACCUGGGGAGUACGCCGGCAACGGUGAAACUCAAAGGAAUUGACGGGGGCCCGCACAAGCGGAGGAACAUGUGGUUUAAUUCGAUGAUACGCGAGGAACCUUACCCGGGUUUGAACGCAUUCGGACCGAGGUGGAAACACCUUUUCUAGCAAUAGCCGUUUGCGAGGUGCUGCAUGGUUGUCGUCAGCUCGUGCCGUGAGGUGUCGGCUUAAGUGCCAUAACGAGCGCAACCCUUGCCACUAGUUACUAACAGGUGAUGCUGAGGACUCUGGUGGGACUGCCAGCGUAAGCUGCGAGGAAGGCGGGGAUGACGUCAAAUCAGCACGGCCCUUACAUCCGGGGCGACACACGUGUUACAAUGGCGUGGACAAAGGGAAGCCACCUGGCGACAGGGAGCGAAUCCCCAAACCACGUCUCAGUUCGGAUCGGAGUCUGCAACCCGACUCCGUGAAGCUGGAUUCGCUAGUAAUCGCGCAUCAGCCAUGGCGCGGUGAAUACGUUCCCGGGCCUUGUACACACCGCCCGUCAAGCCAUGGGAGCCGGGGGUACCUGAAGUCCGUAACCGAAAGGAUCGGCCUAGGGUAAAACUGGUGACUGGGGCU
rnacentral:rRNA from 1 species